rnacentral:rRNA from 1 species
UUUAUGGAGAGUUUGAUCCUGGCUCAGGAUGAACGCUGGCGGCGUGCCUAAUACAUGCAAGUCGAGCGAACGGACGAGAAGCUUGCUUCUCUGAUGUUAGCGGCGGACGGGUGAGUAACACGUGGAUAACCUACCUAUAAGACUGGGAUAACUUCGGGAAACCGUAGCUAAUACCGGAUAAUAUUUUGAACCGCAUGGUUCAAAAGUGAAAGACGGUCUUGCUGUCACUUAUAGAUGGAUCCGCGCUGCAUUAGCUAGUUGGUAAGGUAACGGCUUACCAAGGCAACGAUGCAUAGCCGACCUGAGAGGGUGAUCGGCCACACUGGAACUGAGACACGGUCCAGACUCCUACGGGAGGCAGCAGUAGGGAAUCUUCCGCAAUGGGCGAAAGCCUGACGGAGCAACGCCGCGUGAGUGAUGAAGGUCUUCGGAUCGUAAAACUCUGUUAUUAGGGAAGAACAUAUGUGUAAGUAACUGUGCACAUCUUGACGGUACCUAAUCAGAAAGCCACGGCUAACUACGUGCCAGCAGCCGCGGUAAUACGUAGGUGGCAAGCGUUAUCCGGAAUUAUUGGGCGUAAAGCGCGCGUAGGCGGUUUUUUAAGUCUGAUGUGAAAGCCCACGGCUCAACCGUGGAGGGUCAUUGGAAACUGGAAAACUUGAGUGCAGAAGAGGAAAGUGGAAUUCCAUGUGUAGCGGUGAAAUGCGCAGAGAUAUGGAGGAACACCAGUGGCGAAGGCGACUUUCUGGUCUGUAACUGACGCUGAUGUGCGAAAGCGUGGGGAUCAAACAGGAUUAGAUACCCUGGUAGUCCACGCCGUAAACGAUGAGUGCUAAGUGUUAGGGGGUUUCC